UUCCCAAACUUGGGUCUCCAGCUGUUUUUGGACUACAACUCCCAUCAUCUCUAGCUAGCAAGACCAGUGGUCAGGGAUGAUGGGAACUGCAGUCCAAAAACAGCUGGAGACCCAAGUUUGGGAAA